GACGAACGCUGGCGGCGUGCUUAACACAUGCAAGUCGAACGGAAAGGCCCUGCUUGCAGGGUACUCGAGUGGCGAACGGGUGAGUAACACGUGGGUGAUCUGCCCUGCACUUCGGGAUAAGCCUGGGAAACUGGGUCUAAUACCGGAUAGGAGCCAUUUUUAGUGUGAUGGUUGGAAAGUUUUUUCGGUGUAGGAUGAGCUCGCGGCCUAUCAGCUUGUUGGUGGGGUAAUGGCCUACCAAGGCGGCGACGGGUAGCCGGCCUGAGAGGGUGACGGCCACAUUGGGACUGAGAUACGGCCCAGACUCCUACGGGAGGCAGCAGUGGGGAAUAUUGCACAAUGGGCGCAAGCCUGAUGCAGCGACGCCGCGUGGGGGAUGACGGCCUUCGGGUUGUAAACUCCUUUCGCUAGGGACGAAGCUUUUUGUGACGGUACCUAGAUAAGAAGCACCGGCUAACUACGUG
rnacentral:rRNA from 1 species